rnacentral:rRNA from 1 species
AGCAGCCGCGGUAAUUCCAGCUCCAAUAGCGUAUAUUAAAGUUGUUGCAGUUAAAAAGCUCGUAGUUGAAUUUCGGGAUUCUACCGUUGGUCGGGCUAACAAGUCUGUACUGGUGUGUAGAAUUUCUACCUUCUGGGGAACUAUCAUGUUAUUAAUUUAGCGUGGUGGGAAACCAGGACCUUUACCUUGAAAAAAUUAGAGUGUUCAAAGCAGGCUUACGUCUGAAUACAUUAGCAUGGAAUAAUAGAAUAGGACGGUGGUCCUGUUUUGUUGGUUUCUGAAUCACCGUAAUGAUUAAUAGGGAUAGUUGGGGGCAUUAGUAUUCAAUUGUCAGAAGUGAAAUUCUUGGAUUUAUUGAAGACUAACUUCUGCGAAAGCAUUUGCCAAGGAUGUUUUCAUU